rnacentral:tRNA from 1 species
GCCUCGGUAGCGCAGUAGGCAGCGCGUAAGUCUCAUAAUCUUAAGGUCGUGAGUUCGAUCUUCACCCGGGGCA